AUACCUUUCUCGGCCUUUUGGCUAAGAUCAAGUGUAGUAUCUGUUCUUAUCAGUUUAAUAUCUGAUAUGUGAGCCAUUGACUCACACGAUAUUAACUCAAUUUUUUAAGGGGAAAGAUCUACCAAGGGAGCUUGCUGCCUUGAUCUUUGAGUGUCGCCUUGGUAUUGCACUAUUGCUUUGGCCUGGCACACCCCAA
rnacentral:snRNA from 1 species